rnacentral:rRNA from 1 species
ACACUCCUACGGGACGCAGCAGUGGGGAAUUUUGGACAAUGGGCGAAAGCCUGAUCCAGCAAUGCCGCGUGAGUGAAGAAGGCCUUCGGGUUGUAAAGCUCUUUUGUCAGGGAAGAAACGGUGAGAGCUAAUAUCUCUUGCUAAUGACGGUACCUGAAGAAUAAGCACCGGCUAACUACGUGCCAGCAGCCGCGGUAAUACGUAGGGUGCAAGCGUUAAUCGGAAUUACUGGGCGUAAAGCGUGCGCAGGCGGUUUUGUAAGUCUGAUGUGAAAUCCCCGGGCUCAACCUGGGAAUUGCAUUGGAGACUGCAAGGCUAGAAUCUGGCAGAGGGGGGUAGAAUUCCACGUGUAGCAGUGAAAUGCGUAGAUAUGUGGAGGAACACCGAUGGCGAAGGCAGCCCCCUGGGUCAAGAUUGACGCUCAUGCACGAAAGCGUGGGGAGCAAACAGGAUUAGAUACCCUUGUAGUCCCA